UACGUAGGGUGCAAGCGUUGUCCGGAAUUAUUGGGCGUAACGAGCUCGUAGGCGGUCUGUUGCGUCGGCUGUGAAAACCCGGGGCUCAACUCCGGGCCUGCAGCCGAUACGGGCAGACUAGAGUGUGGUAGGGGAGACUGGAAUUCCUGGUGUAGCGGUGGAAUGCGCAGAUAUCAGGAGGAACACCGAUGGCGAAGGCAGGUCUCUGGGCCAUUACUGACACUGAGAAGCGAAAGCAUGGGGAGCGAACAGG
rnacentral:rRNA from 1 species